rnacentral:miRNA from 1 species
AACUAAGUUUGUUCUGGGUAUAAGCUUUUGUGUGCAUGCACACAAAAGCUUAUACCCAGAAGAAACUUAGUU